rnacentral:rRNA from 1 species
UAGGGAAUCUUCCGCAAUGGGCGAAAGCCUGACGGAGCAACGCCGCGUGAGUGAUGAAGGUCUUCGGAUCGUAAAACUCUGUUAUUAGGGAAGAACAAAUGUGUAAGUAACUAUGCACGUCUUGACGGUACCUAAUCAGAAAGCCACGGCUAACUACGUGCCAGCAGCCGCGGUAAUACGUAGGUGGCGAGCGUUAUCCGGAAUUAUUGGGCGUAAAGCGCGCGUAGGCGGGUUUUUAAGUCUGAUGUGAAAGCCCACGGCUCAACCGUGGAGGGUCAUUGGAAACUGGAAAACGUGAGUGCAGAAGAGGAAAGUGGAAUUCCAUGUGUAGCGGUGAAAUGCGCAGAGAUAUGGAGGAACACAAGGGGCGAAGGCGACUUUCUGGUCUGUAACUGACGCUGAUGUGCGAAAGCGUGGGGAUCAAACAAG